UACGGAGGGAGCUAGCGUUGUUCGGAAUUACUGGGCGUAAAGCGCACGUAGACGGCUUUUUAAGUCAGGGGUGAAAUCCCGGGGCUCAACCCCGGAACUGCCCUUGAAACUGGAGAGCUAGAAUCUUGGAGAGGCGAGUGGAAUUCCGAGUGUAGAGGUGAAAUUCGUAGAUAUUCGGAAGAACACCAGUGGCGAAGGCGACUCGCUGGACAAGUAUUGACGCUGAGGUGCGAAAGCGUGGGGAGCAAACAGG
rnacentral:rRNA from 1 species